UUGGGUACUGCUACAGUUCUUCCUCUGUA
rnacentral:piRNA from 1 species